AUGUCACAUGGAUUAUUUAAUGUCUUUACUAUGUUUCUGAGCCUUGUUCUUGGUAGGAUCCUUGCUGUCUAUGGGAGGGUCAGAAAGCUCUUGGAUUUCAUCAAAAAUAUCUUAAUUUGUGUUCCGAAGAUGAACGAGGGUCUUACAGGUUUGGAACGACAUGAGGAAACAGCAUUAUGCCAUCGCUCCGUCAAAAGGCAGCGUCAGCUCCGUAUGCCUCAGCGCUCCACAGAUCUGCAGACGCCAUCAAUACAAGCCAAACUGGCAGGAAAAUGGGCCGAGCGCUUCUGAAGACUAUAAACCAGCGCUUGGAAAGACUCACACAGUUUGAUUAGACUGCAGGACGUGGACAUAAAUUGACAUACUUCAUUCGCCUCGAGUUGGAUUUUGUUCACUCUGGUUUAUAACCGUAGAGAGGAAAUUGCAUCUGCCCGUCAUAAACAGCAAUAUCUCAUUGCUCCAUCUCACUCAUGUGUCACGUGAGUGCUGCGCUGCUUACCAUUAGCAUUUUAUUGCCACUGCAAAGCAUUGCCGGUCUGACGGCUCUGCAGUCGUUUAUGCAGGCCACAGCAUCGAGUCCCAGCGUUCCCCGCUGAGGAGGCAUAAAUCCAGAUUAGAGUGCGGGAUGGGGGGAGGAAAUCAGAGCGAGGAAAUCCCUGGCAGGAGGAUCCCAGCUCAGCACUUUCUCUCUUCAUGAGCUCUCACCUCCACAGCGGUCACUGCAGCAGGAGAGUCACUCGAAGUGUCAGCAGUGUCUCCAGCUGUCUGCUUGACUUGUUUUGUCCUCUGUCAGCAGAAGGCAUAACUGUCAUCUCACUCAGACUUCCUCUUUGAGCACUGACAGUCAUCUUACAUCCACAACCUCACAUUGGGUCACAUAGAACUGAGAAGUAGAAUACACUGUGAAAAGAAGAUUAGUGAAGUACAUUUUACAAGAAAAUACUAAUUCAGUCUUUCUACUCCAGGAUUUCUGUGUUAGCUGCCAUUUCUUUGUAAUUAUUUGUGAAAUUUACUAGCAAUUUCUGAGUGAAAAGUAGUUUUUUUACUAUGUAUUAAUAGCUUUUAAUUUAAUUUAAUUUAAUUUAAUUUAAUUUUCUGACAUUCUUUUAACAUAAGUUUAAAAAAAAUCAAAAUUUACUUUAAUAUAUCGUUCCAAACCGUGAGAUUCUUCUUUGGCCAAGCAUGCAAAACAUUUAUUUUAUGAACAAUAAACAAAGUUUGGGGGUCAGUAUUGUUCUUUUCUUUUACGAAAUUAAUUUUAUUCAGCUGGGAUGCAUUGAAAUGAUCAAAAGUGACUGUAAAAACAUUUAUAAUACUACAAAAAAAAAAUUAUAUUUCAAAUAAACGCUGCUCAUAUAAACUUUCUAUAUAAUAAAGAUUAAUGAAAAAUAUAUUACAGUUUCCACAGAAAUAUUAAGCAGCACAACUGUUUUUAACUCUUUAAUAAUAAAAAAUGUUUCUUGAGCACCAAAUGAUUUCUGAAGGAUCAUGUGACACUGAAGACUGGAGUAAUGAUGCUGAAAAUUCAGCUUUACAUCACAGGAAUAAAUGACAUUUUAAAAUAUAUUCAAAAAGAAAAUAGUUAAUUUUAAUUGUAAUACACACACACACACACACACACACACACACACACACACAUCACGAUUAAUCGCAUCCAAAAUAAAAGUUUUUGUUUACACAAUAUUUCUGUGUGUACUGUGUAUAUUUAUUAUGUAUAUAUAAAGACACACACAGUAUAUAUUUUGAAAAUAUUUACAUGUAUUUACAUGUAUAUACUUAUAUUCAGAUAAUUUAUAUAAUAUAG
ensembl:lncRNA